rnacentral:rRNA from 1 species
UACGGAGGGUGCGAGCGUUGUCCGGAAUCAUUGGGCGUAAAGGGCGCGUAGGUGGCGCGGUAAGCGUGCGGUGAAAGCCCGGGGCUCAACCCCGGGAGGCGGGCGGAUACUGUCGGGCUAGAGUCCGGAAGAGGCAAGUGGAAUUCCUGGUGUAGCGGUGAAAUGCGCAGAUAUCAGGAGGAACACCGAUGGCGAAGGCAGCUUGCUGGGACGGUACUGACGCUGAGACGCGAAAGCGUGGGGAGCAAACAGG